rnacentral:rRNA from 1 species
AUACAUGCAAGUCGAACGAGUUCUCGUUGAUGAUCGGUGCUUGCACCGAGAUUCAACAUGGAACGAGUGGCGGACGGGUGAGUAACACGUGGGUAACCUGCCCUUAAGUGGGGGAUAACAUUUGGAAACAGAUGCUAAUACCGCAUAGAUCCAAGAACCGCAUGGUUCUUGGCUGAAAGAUGGCGUAAGCUAUCGCUUUUGGAUGGACCCGCGGCGUAUUAGCUAGUUGGUGAGGUAAUGGCUCACCAAGGCGAUGAUACGUAGCCGAACUGAGAGGUUGAUCGGCCACAUUGGGACUGAGACACGGCCCAAACUCCUACGGGAGGCAGCAGUAGGGAAUCUUCCACAAUGGACGCAAGUCUGAUGGAGCAACGCCGCGUGAGUGAAGAAGGCUUUCGGGUCGUAAAACUCUGUUGUUGGAGAAGAAUGGUCGGCAGAGUAACUGUUGUCGGCGUGACGGUAUCCAACCAGAAAGCCACGGCUAACUACGUGCCAGCAGCCGCGGUAAUACGUAGGUGGCAAGCGUUAUCCGGAUUUAUUGGGCGUAAAGCGAGCGCAGGCGGUUUUUUAAGUCUGAUGUGAAAGCCCUCGGCUUAACCGAGGAAGCGCAUCGGAAACUGGGAAACUUGAGUGCAGAAGAGGACAGUGGAACUCCAUGUGUAGCGGUGAAAUGCGUAGAUAUAUGGAAGAACACCAGUGGC